rnacentral:rRNA from 1 species
UCCUGGCUCAGAUUGAACGCUGGCGGCAUGCCUUACACAUGCAAGUCGAACGGCAGCACGGGUGCUUGCACCUGGUGGCGAGUGGCGAACGGGUGAGUAAUACAUCGGAACAUGUCCUGUAGUGGGGGAUAGCCCGGCGAAAGCCGGAUUAAUACCGCAUACGAUCCAUGGAUGAAAGCGGGGGACCUUCGGGCCUCGCGCUAUAGGGUUGGCCGAUGGCUGAUUAGCUAGUUGGUGGGGUAAAGGCCUACCAAGGCGACGAUCAGUAGCUGGUCUGAGAGGACGACCAGCCACACUGGGACUGAGACACGGCCCAGACUCCUACGGGAGGCAGCAGUGGGGAAUUUUGGACAAUGGGCGAAAGCCUGAUCCAGCAAUGCCGCGUGUGUGAAGAAGGCCUUCGGGUUGUAAAGCACUUUUGUCCGGAAAGAAAUCCUUGGCUCUAAUACAGUCGGGGGAUGACGGUACCGAA